rnacentral:rRNA from 1 species
UUGGAGGGCAAGUCUGGUGCCAGCAGCCGCGGUAAUUCCAGCUCCAAUAGCGUAUAUUAAAGUUGUUGCAGUUAAAAAGCUCGUAGUUGAAUUUCGGGAUCUAUCCGUCGGUCGGGCCUCACGGUCCGCACUGGUGUGAUGGAUUCCUACCUUCUGAAUAACCGGUAUGCCAUUAAUUUGAUGUGCCGGGGAAGCAGAACCAUUACCUUGAAAAAAUUAGAGUGCUCAAAGCAGGCCUAUGCCUGAAUACAUUAGCAUGGAAUAAUAAAAUAGGACGGCAUGGUUCUAUUUUGUUGGUUUCUAGGAUCACCGUAAUGAUUAAUAGGGAUAGUUGGGGGCAUUAGUAUUCAAUUGUCAGAGGUGAAAUUCUUGGAUUUAUUGAAGACUAACUUCUGCGAAAGCAUUUGCCAAGGAUGUUUUCAUUAAUCAAGAACGAAAGUUAGGGGAUCGAAGACGAUCAGAUACCGUCGUAGUCUUAACCAUAAACUAUGCCGACUAGGGAUCGGACGAUGUCAAUUUUAUAAUGACUCAUUCGGCGCCUUACGGGAAAC